GGCGCCACACGGGCCUGAUGGGGUG
rnacentral:piRNA from 1 species